rnacentral:tRNA from 1 species
GCCACUGUAGCUCAAACGGUAGAGCAAAUGCUUCGUACGUAUUAGGUUGGGGGUUCAAGUCCUCUCGGUGGCU